CUCGGAUUGCAAAUGGCCGCAGUUAAAGAGGGUAACGAUGUCAACAAAUGUCAUAUUGAUUCUUUAAACCAAUUUCUCAUUGAUGUUCGGUUGUUUUUAAACCGUUUUUCUUUCGGGCGAUAUUCUGGUGUUAUUUUACCAAAAAAUCUUCCGAUAUAACUGCAUCUUACGGAUGACAGAAAUGUCAGGAUAUCGGAGGGUGAAUUAUUACGAGUUAUGCAGAUUAUGCACCAGCAGCGAAGGCAACAAGAUGAACAUUUUUCGGGAUGAAGGUCGCAGGAGACAACUUCAGUCGAAAAUUCAUAUGUAUUUGCAUGUUCAGGUUAUGGAAGAAGAUUCGCUGCCAAAAAUCGUGUGCCACGAGUGUGUCCGAAAACUCGAAAACUUUGCAGAGUUUCGGCAAUCUGUUGUCAGCGCAGAGGGAAUGUUGGAAUCAUACUUUACUUCAAUGAAUUUUAAUGAAGAAUGUUUGAAAGAAGGCAAAGUUUAUGUAAAAAGUACUGAAAAAGAGAAGUCGCCUACUCCAGAAGAUUCUGUGCAAGAAGAAGAUCCUUUGAAAAUAAUAGAGAAAGUACCAACAACUCCAAGCAGCCAAUUUAUCGCUUCCCCAGACUCGCAAACGUCACAACAACAACCAGUUCUUGUCAGUAAUAUCAAUGCUGCUAAUAUACAAAUUAUCAGCGGACAAUACAAACAAUAUAAAUGUGCUAUGCAGAUGCAGUCAGCGGGAGGCGUUGCAUCAGCUGUGGUAGAAGCAACAGCAGAAACUCAUUAUAGCUAUCAGCAACAAACUUCUCAGCAAGUCUCUUCUCAACAACAAAAUCUAAGCCAGAAUCAAAUAACUGAACAAAGUCCACCACAACCUACUCAGAUUCACCAAGUUCCAAACCAGAUCCAGAGCCAAAAUCAAAUAUCUCAGCAAGUGCAAUCCUUCAGACAAAUAUCUCAUCAGUCUACGAACCAAUCUAACCAAAUUAGCCAACAUCAAGGUCAAACCACACAACAAAUUCAGCAUCUUCAAAGGCAGCAAAGGCAUCUCCAGCAAAUCGAAAAGCAGCAUGUGCACGUAUCUCAGCAACAAGAGAGACAACAAUCACAGAAUAAUAAUAUCAUCCUUAAGGCUGAAGAACAAACUGAACAAACACAGCAAGUCAUCCAGAAGGUGCAGCCUGAAACACUGAAAAACGAGUCGAAUCAAACUUUCACGGCAGUACAAGCCUCCCCAGAAGUUUUUUUAAGUUUGGGAUUCAAGGACAGUACACUCUCGACACAAGCCACCCGAGAUGACGUAAAAGAUUUCAAGGAAUACACCAAAUCUGUCGUAGAAGACGGUCGCGGUACAAUGAUUUCCGAGUUUUUGAGACUGAGACCAGUGAACGAAGCGUCAUCUCUUAUAACAGUUAACCCCCAGGUGAUUGUACAAAGUACGAGAGAUGUCAUUUGUCGCGACUGCGGGAAGUAUUUCGCAUCAUUGGAUAUGUUAGACAGUCACAGCUGCAGUCCUUCUCUAAUGAACGAGGGUUCUGAUAACAUAUCAAAAGAAGAUUCUUCCCACGUCAAUGCCAAUGGUAGCGCCUUCAGUUGCGAUGUUUGUGGCAAACCUUUCAAGAGAAAAGAACACUUGUUCCAGCAUCGAAAACUGCACAGUGGCGAGAGACCCUAUGUGUGCACCACUUGCACGAAAGCUUUCAGUCGCAAGGAGCAUUUAGUCAGGCAUCUAGUUUCUCACACGGGUCAAAAAAUGCACGAGUGCGAAAUGUGUGGCAAGAGCUUCUCGCGAAAAGAUAAUCUUCACAAGCAUAGAAAGACGCAUGGAGUUGCAGGUCCUUACAUAUGCGAGACUUGUGGCAAAUCGUUCGUUGUGAAGCAUUAUUAUUUGAUGCACUUGACAACUCACGCGGCUGCUGCUAUUAUUGAUAAUAUAGAUCCGUUGCCAUAUAAAUGCGAUAUGUGCCAUAAGGCGUUUUCAGUUAAGGAAUACCUCGCUUCACAUAAGAUGAGACAUCGGUCGAAGAAUACAAGCAACAGUCAGAAUUCCAUAAAUGGGCAGCAGACGCAAGAACAGAUACAGCAGCACUCGAGUGAAAACAAUGAGGCGAAUGUGGCUGGAAAUGAAAUUAACUCUGGUAACAUGACUAGGGCCAACAGUCAAAGUGGAAACGGCUCUGUUGUUCAACUUCAAAGUGUAAUAGAAAGAAGUGAGCAGCAAAAUGGUUCGUUUGGAAGUAACCAAUAUCCAGGGAAUAUAUCGCAGUUCCAAUGAGAUAAGGGGAAGCGUGUCUAUUAUGUUCUUUUGCCAAACGGCAACAAACAUAAAAUUGUUGUCGUGUAAGCAGAAGAAUUACGCCAGGCGCGCUUUGGAAAAUGGAAACACUUCACAUAAUGACAUCUUGUGCUUCAAUAAAUUCUUUGUUAAGGUUGCUCUAAAUGCAUCUUACGAUCUAAGGAAAGAUUAUUUCUUAAAGAUACAUGAGUUUGUAUUUCCAAGAAGGUCUAUAUUAAUACUUUGAAAAAGUAUUAGCUGAAUAAAAUUAUAUAAAUUAAUUUAAGAAUUUUUAAUUGAAUAAAAUAAUCGGUAUAUCUAUGCAUUUAUCAUUAUAUACUCAACUCUCGAUGAAAGUCCGGUUACGGGGAUGUUUUGCAGUCGCCUUCAACAUACAUUGAAGGAAUCCAAACGUAAACAGUCAGGGCCGCGCGAACCAUUUCUCUUGCAUUUUGACGCACGCUAACAGCUGACGAAACCAACGCGCUGAGAGUACUGCACUCAUGCUGUUUCUCACACAUGGCUGAGCACCGCCUCUCUAUCGGCUCCGUUGUCGUGGCAUCACCAAAAUGCUACGAAUUAAAUUCUAGGAACGGCGUAAACUGAGGGUACUUACAUCUUGAGUUAAGUGUACUUAUUUGAUUUAGAUACUUUCAUUACAUGUGAAAUACGAGAUCGUUUGUUAAACGUUAUUCACUGAUCAGCCAUAUCAUCGUUGUAAUUAAAAAAGAACUUUCUUAUUAGAUGAGUACCUAUUCAUAAAAAUGAUAGUCAGUGCUUUUCAGAAAAACAAUUUUGAAGUCCUUGACAGAGCUUUGCCUAAAAUGGAAUGAUCGAAUUAAAUUAUUUAUUUUUCCUUUCUUUUUCUUGUGUUUUCUUGAAGUUUUAAUUUAAAAAUUUUCUAUAAAAAUGUAAAAUAUGACAGUCGUGAAUUCGGUCUGUGCAGAUUGAGAAAAAAUCAAACUUUACAGGUUUAUAUACCAAAGAAGAUUUUAAAACGUCUUCAAAACAAAAAAUAUAUAUAGUUUUCAAGAAUAAGAAAAUUGUUUUUUUUCCGCGAAUUAAUACUUGACUGGGAUGAAACCUCUCUUUUCAUCGUACAAGUUAUAAGCUAGUGGAUAAUCAAAGUGAGUUGAGAAGUGUGAAGCUAUAUUAAGCUACAUUGUGCAUUAUCUCGAUUGUAUGUAAGUGUAUAGUUAUACUUCAUCAAGUAGAAGUUAAGAUACUGAUUUGAAGACCAAAGAUUAUUAUAUUGUGUAUAAAUAUUUAAACGUAAAGUAUAAUUCAUAUUGUACGUUCUCUUCCGCGGUAUGCAUUGUCAUGGAAAAUGUAGAUAAUUUUGAUGAUCAUAUUUUACCAGUAGAGUAUUUGAACUGUCCUGUGGCAUAAGGGUGUAAGUGCCAAAUUUCGGAAAUGCGUUUUAUUUGCUUAAACUAAUUGUUUUGACAUAUCUCUGUAGAAAUUUCUUGUACACUCCGAUUUAGAAGGGGGUCAAAAUCCAGGUUUGGUUUUUUAAAAAUAAAUAAAUUACACAUUUUUGACCGUUCUUUGCACAGUUCAGUAGAGCUAAGUAAUAGCUCGAAAAAUUGGUUGUUUUUUUUUAAAUUGAAAAAUUAAAAAAAUGAUGCAGCUUUUUUUGUGUCGGAUCCGGUGUUUUUUUUGGACGCGCCGUUAUUUGACAAGAUUUUUUUUCUUGCAGAUGGUUGCAUGUUUGUAAGCGCUGCUUUUGUGAUUUGAUAGAGCUAAGUAGCUCGCACGCAAUUUCUUGUUUUUAUUUGAAUUAAAAAAUAAACAAGUUCUGUAAUUCUUUCGGAGUCAAAAUCAGGGUUUUUUAAGGAAGCACCGUACUUUUGUCAUAAAGUUUUUCUCGGAGGUGAUUGCUUCUUUUAACAUUAAAAAAAAUUAAAUGCAUUAAAGUUGAACAGUUUUGUGUCUCCUUUAAAAUUCCAAUUUUGACACUAACGCACUUAUGCCCCGGGACCCUGAAUUUAUUUUUCCAAUUUUAAUUGUUGAUUCGCAGACUAAGAUAGGUUCGACUGAUUAAUUCGUAUCAGUAACUGUAUCAAGGAAAAAUCAUUUUUGUGCGAGGUCGCACAUCAAGUGUAUCCUGCUCUUACUAUUAAUGAGUGAUGUGAAGGAGAUAGCUACUUAUGCUGCAAUAUAUAUCUGUAGAGUUUUUAUCGAAUGUUUAAUCAAUAAGCGCAUAUUAAAGUAUAAACAUGAGUUUAUUUUAUUUACAAUAAACAACCGUGUGAAUAG